CGGAGCCAUUUCUCCUGCCUAGAAAGUAGCUUUUAAGGGCUGGAGAGAUGGCUUAG
rnacentral:miRNA from 1 species